GAUGAACGCUAGCUACAGGCUUAACACAUGCAGGUCGAGGGGUAACGAGAGGAAAGCUUGCUUUCCUUGUCGACGACCGGCGCACGGGUGAGUAACGCGUAUCCAACCUGCCCCCAACUAGGGAAUAACCUUGCGAAAGUAAGACUAAUACCCUAUAAUUUCCUCAGAUGCCAUCUGACGAGGAAUAAAGAUUUAUCGGUUGUGGAUGGGGAUGCGUCUGAUUAGCUUGUUGGCGGGGUAACGGCCCACCAAGGCAACGAUCAGUAGGGGUUCUGAGAGGAAGGUCCCCCACAUUGGAACUGAGACACGGUCCAAACUCCUACGGGAGGCAGCAGUGAGGAAUAUUGGUCAAUGGGCGGAAGCCUGAACCAGCCAAGUAGCGUGCAGGAUGACGGCCCUAUGGGUUGUAAACUGCUUUUAUACAGGAAUAAAGUUAGCCACGUGUGGUUAUUUGUAGGUACUGUAUGAAUAAGGACCGGCUAAUUCCGUGCCAGCCGCCGCAGUAA
rnacentral:rRNA from 1 species